GCCACUUAAUCUCAAUUAAGUUAGUCGCAGGUAAUUGUUUUAAAAAAUUUUACCAUUUACUUUUUGGACUAAUUUUUUAAUGUGUUGUGCUUGAAGAACGUCGUUUAUUAGAUAUUAAAUUAAAAUAUUUAUUUUCAGACGAAAAAUAAAACCUGUAAACAAUUUCUGUCUCUAUUUACUUGUGAAACGAAUGAUAGAAAAGAAAAAGCAUUCAACUGUUUACCGUUUGACUCAUGUUCCAAUCUAACCUAGUGGGUUCAAAAAGAAAGGACCGCGCUGUAAACAUAAAGGGGUUAAAAGGGUCAGCCCUUUUUGAAUUAAUUGUCGAAGUCGUAACUAGCUCGUAUGAAAGGAUUUCUCGACAUGAAAUAGUUAAUUUUAUUCAACAACACCAAGAAACAGAGCUUGCUCAAGAAACAGAAAAGAAAGAAAAAGAUGAAAAAAUAUUCUG